GUUGAGGGGAAUGUCGUCUGGCGCGAGACCGUACCAGACGACGUGCUCUCUCGGUCGUCGGACGGUCUCGGACCAGGCUUCAUUCCCCCCAAC
rfam:Zea mays cultivar B73 chromosome 1, whole genome shotgun sequence.